rnacentral:lncRNA from 1 species
GCGGGGGAAGAUGGCGGUCCUGGGGUAGAGUUUGCAAGCUUUCUGACUAGGCUAGUCGAGUAACUAUUCGGGUCAUGGCGUCAAACUCAACUAAGUCUUUCCUGGCAGAUGCCGGCUAUGGCGAACAGGAACUGGAUGCCAACUCUGCCCUUAUGGAAUUGGACAAAGGCCUAAGAUCUGGCAAACUUGGUGAACAGUGUGAAGCAGUUGUUCGCUUUCCCAGACUUUUUCAGAAGUAUCCAUUCCCUAUUCUUAUCAAUUCUGCAUUCCUAAAGUUAGCUGAUGUUUUCAGAGUUGGGUAAGUCUUUUUAAAUUCUCGAUGUCCUAAAGUACUUUGUUCAUAUUUCUUGUUUUAUAUUGUGGUCUUUUUCUUUUUGCCUUUUAGUACUUCCACCUGGUUAGUUACCAUUAGUGGACACACAUGACUGUGUGCAGCACAUCAGUGUGAGAUUUAAUGACAUUUAAAGCAAAAUGAAGAGUAUAAUUUAGACGAUACUUAUUUCUUUGGAGAACAGAAUAAAAUUAAGACAACCUUAAUAUUUUACUGUGUACUUCAGGAAAAUCUGUGUCUUUGUACAGAUUGUUUUUGAGAAGUUUCUGAUUUAAUUUAAUAAUUUAUUUUAUAGCAUGAGAUGCAUGUCUGUGAAGUACCUGAAACAUGUAAGCACUGAAUACAUGCCUAUUUGCUUUUUCUCCCCCGACCAUUCCAUCUUCUGCUGCUUUCUGCCAUUCUCCAUGCACUCGUGCUCAUAUGCACACAAUACCACACUGGAAGGAGAAAAGAAGUUGUGGAAUAAGCCCAAGAGAAGAGAAAGACCGUCUGAUUUCCUGGCCUUGGUUAUAAUAUAGUUUGAGGAGAUUUAGUUCUGCUCUAGGUCUUCUCCUUGUGUCACUGCCAUUUUGGUGUCUUGCAGCAAGACUGUAGCAUAGCUCACUGCUUAUGCUUAAUGUCCACCUAAAGUACAAACUUUAACUCUUUUAGUAGUUAAACAAAUAAUGUUAAGAUUG